GUGGAUUAGAUACCCUGGUAGUCCACGCUGUAAACGAUGAAUGCUAGACGUGGUAGGUCUUGACCCCUGCCGUGUCGAAGUUAACACGAUAAGCAUUCCGCCUGGGGAGUACGGUCGCAAGACUAAAACUCAAAGGAAUUGACGGGGGCCCGCACAAGCGGUGGAUCAUGUGGUUUAAUUCGAAGCAACGCGAAGAACCUUACCUGGAUUUGACAUCCUCUGAAUUUGGUAGAGAUAUCAACGGCCCGCAAGGGACAGAGAGACAGGUGCUGCACGGCCGUCGUCAACU
rnacentral:rRNA from 1 species